rnacentral:rRNA from 1 species
CCUUAGAUCGUACCCACAUUUACUUGGAUAACUGUGGUAAUUCUAGAGCUAAUACAUGCAAACCAGAGCUCCGACCAGAGAUGGAAGGAACGCUUUUAUUAGAUCAAAACCAAUCGGUGGCGAGUUUCCCUCGUCCAUCGUUAGCCUUGGUGACUCUGAAUAACUUUGUGCUGAUCGCACGGUCUCGUACCGGCGACGCAUCUUUCAAAUGUCUGCCUUAUCAACUGUCGAUGGUAGGUUUUGCGCCUACCAUGGUUGUAACGGGUAACGGGGAAUCAGGGUUCGAUUCCGGAGAGGGAGCCUGAGAAACGGCUACCACAUCCAAGGAAGGCAGCAGGCGCGCAAAUUACCCACUCCCGGCACGGGGAGGUAGUGACGAAAAAUAACGAUACGGGACUCAUCCGAGGCCCCGUAAUCGGAAUGAGUACACUUUAAAUCCUUUAACGAGUAUCCAUUGGAGGGCAAGUCUGGUGCCAGCAGCCGCGGUAAUUCCAGCUCCAAUAGCGUAUAUUAAAGUUGUUGCGGUUAAAAAGCUCGUAGUUGAAUCUGUGUGCCACGCUGUCGGUUCAUCGCUCGCGAUGUUUAACUGACAUGAUUGUGGGACGUCCUACCGGUGGACUUAGCCUCUAACUCUUCGGAGCUAGAGGCGGUCCAGCUAAUAUCCCAUCGCGGUGCUUUUCAUCGAGUGUCGAGGUGGGCCGGUACGUUUACUUUGAACAAAUUAGAGUGCUCAAAGCAGGCCAUCCUCGCCUGAAUACUGUGUGCAUGGAAUAAUGGAAUAGGACCUCGGUUCUAUUUUGUUGGUUUUCGGAACCCCGAGGUAAUGAUUAAUAGGGACAGAUGGGGGCAUUCGUAUUGCGACGUUAGAGGUGAAAUUCUUGGAUCGUCGCAAGACGGACAGAAGCGAAAGCAUUUGCCAAAAAUGUUUUCAUUAAUCAAGAACGAAAGUUAGAGGUUCGAAGGCGAUCAGAUACCGCCCUAGUUCUAACCAUAAACGAUGCCAGCUAGCGAUCCGCCGAAGUUCCUUUGAUGACUCGGCGGGCAGCUUCCGGGAAACCAAAGCUUUUGGGUUCCGGGGGAAGUAUGGUUGCAAAGCUGAAACUUAAAGGAAUUGACGGAAGGGCACCACCAGGAGUGGAGCCUGCGGCUUAAUUUGACUCAACAC